rnacentral:tRNA from 1 species
GCCAAAGUGGCGGAACUGGUAGACGCGCGCGAUUCAAAAUCGCGUUCCUUCGGGAGUGUGGGUUCGAUUCCCACCUUUGGUA